AGCAGCCGCGGUAAUUCCAGCUCCAAUAGCGUAUAUUAAAGUUGUUGCAGUUAAAAAGCUCGUAGUUGAAUUUCGAAAUCGGCUUACUGGUCGUGCUAUUGUACGUACUGGUAUAAUCGGUUUCUCCUUUCUGACGAACUAUAAUGCCAUUAAUUUGGUGUUUUAGGGAAUCAGGACUGUUACUUUGAAAAAAUUAGAGUGUUUAAAGCAGGCUCACGCUUGAAUACAUUAGCAUGGAAUAACGGAAUAGGACGUUUGAUUCUAUUUUGUUGGUUUCUAGGAUCGACGUAAUGAUUAAUAGGGAUAGUUGGGGGCAUUAGUAUUCAAUUGUCAGAGGUGAAAUUCUUGGAUUUAUUGAAGACUAACUACUGCGAAAGCAUUUGCCAAGGAUGUUUUCAUUAAUCAAGAACGAAAGUUAGGGGAUCGAAGACGAUCAGAUACCGUCGUAGUCUUAACCAUAAACUAUGCCGACUAGGGAUCGGAUGAUGUUAAUUUUUUAAUGACUCAUUCGGCGCCUUACG
rnacentral:rRNA from 1 species